rnacentral:lncRNA from 13 species
CGUGGAAUAGUAUUCAGCCUGAAAAAGGAAGGCAAUUCUGCCCUGUGCUACAACUUGGAUGCAUCUUGAGGACCUUAGGUUCAGUGAAAACACGUUUGCCAACCCCUGCACGCUGGAGUCCAAGACCAGAAGUCCUGCAGUUCACUUCCGGCUACACGUCCUGCCUCACAGGAGUAAGACCUUGGCAACGCUUCACCGAUGACCCAACAGGACAGAGACGGACAGAGGCAGAAUGCAGCCCCCACAGAGCACAUUUAACCUUCCAGCGGGGCCACGUCUGUCAAACAGAGGAAAUGAGUUUCUGUGACGCUCUCUCUCUUCCUCUUCUGAUAAAAUCAAAUUGAGUCUCAGAGGAACCCAAAGGCUUCUCCAUAGGACAGUUCAUAACAAGGCAGUGUACUUCAUCAGAACAAGCAAGUAAGAAGAGCUGGGGAGAAAGAGAGAAGAGGAGAUGGAAGUUACACACUCUUGGGAGCUAAUCUCAGAAGUGAUCGCUCAUCACUUGUGCCGUAUGUACUGAUUAGAAGUGAGUACCUAAUUUCAGCCACUAAAGGAGAAGGGAUAAUACAAGGAAGGGUGUGGUGGGAACACCAGG